GACUGGGGGCUGCUACCUGCAGUCGAGCGAUGAAGCCCUUCGGGGUGGAUUAUUGGCGAACGGGUGAGUAACACGUGGGCAAUCUGGCCUUCACUCUGGGACGAGCCCUGGAAACGGGGUCUAAUACCGGAUACAACCUGGGAAGGCUUCUUCUCGGGUGGAAAGCUCCGGCGCUGAAGGAUGAGCCCGCGGCCUAUCAGCUUGUUGGUGGGGUAAUGGCCUACCAAGGCGACGACGGGUAGCCGGCCUGAGAGGGCGACCGGCCACACUGUGACUGAGACACGGCCCACACUCCUACGGGAGGCAGCAGUGGGGAAUAUUGCGCAAUGGGCGCAAGCCUGAUGCGCCGACGCCGCGUGAGGGAUGACAGCCUUCGGGUUGUAAACCUCUUUCACCAGGGAAAAAACGCAAGUGACGGUACCUGCAGAAAAAUCGCCGGCUAACUACGUGCCAGCAGCCGCGUAAAUACGUAGGGCGCAAGCGUUGUCCGGAAUUAUUGGGCGUAUAGAGCUCGUAUGCGGCUUGUCACGUCGGGUGUGAAAGCCCGGGGCUUAACCCCGGAUCUGCAUCCGAUACGGCCGGGCUAUAGUGUGCUAGGUGAGAUCGUAAUUCCUGAUGUAGCGGUGGAAAUGCGCAGAUAUCAGGAGGAACACCGCGUGGAGAUCUGGGGAUCUCUGCGACGUUACUGACGCUGACGAGCGAAAGCGUGGAGAGUCGAUCAGGAUUAGAUAGCCCUGGUAGUCCACGAUCGUAUACGUGGGAGCUCAGUGCUUGACGAACAUUUCCUACGUACGACGUCGCCAGCAGCUGACUGCAGUUAUUUCACCCGUCUGCGUAGUACGACCGCACUGCUAAAAACUCGAACGAUGGACAGAGUCCAGUCCAAUGCGACCGGAGCACUGUGACUAAGUUCGAGCAUGCGCAUGAUCUUAGCCAGGCCUGAACAUACUAUCCGCGUAA
rnacentral:rRNA from 1 species